GACGAACGCUGGCGGCGUGCUUAACACAUGCAAGUCGAACGAUGAAAGCUGGAGCUUGCUUUAGCUGGAUUAGUGGCGAACGGGUGAGUAACACGUGAGCAAUCUGCCCCUGACUCUGGGAUAACUUCGAGAAAUCGAAGCUAAUACCGGAUACGACCCUUCCAGGCAUCUGGUGAGGGUGGAAAGAACUUCGGUCAGGGAUGAGCUCGCGGCCUAUCAGCUAGUUGGUGAGGUAAUGGCUCACCAAGGCGACGACGGGUAGCCGGCCUGAGAGGGUGACCGGCCACACUGGGACUGAGACACGGCCCAGACUCCUACGGGAGGCAGCAGUGGGGAAUAUUGCACAAUGGGCGCAAGCCUGAUGCAGCAACGCCGCGUGAGGGACGAAGGCCUUCGGGUUGUAAACCUCUUUUGGCAGGGAAGAAGCGAAAGUGACGGUACCUGCAGAAAAAGCGCCGGCUAACUACGUG
rnacentral:rRNA from 1 species